GUCGGUGUAGUGUUUAACGGCGUUAGCACGUAAGUCUUCCAAACUUAAAGAAUGGGUUCAAAUCCCUUUACCGACA
rnacentral:tRNA from 2 species